rnacentral:rRNA from 1 species
AGUAGCAAUACUUGAGUGGCGGACGGGUGAGUAACGCGUGAGAAUCUGCCUUUUGGUCGGGGACAACCACUGGAAACGGUGGCUAAUACCGGAUAUGCCUAACGGUGAAAGAUUAAUUGCCAGAAGAGGAGCUCGCGUCUGAUUAGCUAGUUGGUGAGGUAAAGGCUCACCAAGGCAUCGAUCAGUAGCUGGUCUGAGAGGAUGACCAGCCACACUGGGACUGAGACACGGCCCAGACUCCUACGGGAGGCAGCAGUGGGGAAUUUUCCGCAAUGGGCGAAAGCCUGACGGAGCAAGACCGCGUGAGGGAGGAAGGCUCUUGGGUUGUAAACCUCUUUUGUCAGGGAAGAACACAAUGACGGUACCUGAAGAAUCAGCAUCGGCUAACUCCGUGCCAGCAGCCGCGGUAAUACGGGGGAUGCAAGCGUUAUCCGGAAUUAUUGGGCGUAAAGCGUCCGCAGGUGGCUAAUCAAGUCUGCUGUCAAAGGUUAGGGCUUAACCCCAAAAAGGCAGUGGAAACUGAGAAGCUAGAGUGCAGUAGGGGUAGAGGGAAUUCCCGGUGUAGCGGUGAAAUGCGUAGAGAUCGGGAAGAACAUCGGUGGCGAAAGCGCUCUACUGGACUGCAACUGACACUCAGGGACGAAAGCUAGGGGAGCGA